UUUUUUUUUACAAGAAGUGCUGAGCGGACGUGAUUUCCUGGUUCCCAGCGCUGGUUCUGUCCCGGAGGCAGGAAGAGAGGCGCGCAUGUUGCAGCACAUCGUCACCAGAAGUGUGGCUGUUGACUCCCUGGCAGGUUGCCUCUCUUCCCCUUGUUGCCAAUAAAUCAGCACAGACGUUGAGAAACACAUCGGAGUGAUUCUGCUGGCUGUACCGGUCCACAUUAAAGACGGAAGGACCGGCUGUUUCCAGCUUGUUAACACUCGCUGUCGACUCGGCCCGUUUGCCCAGCAGGCACAUGAGCGGCCACCUAAAACACGUUAGGCAGCCAUCAGUCGGCGGCCGGCCUGCUGAGGAGGAGCGGCGGGGCCAAAGCGGCGGCUCCUGGGCGUCGACUUGGACCUGCGGGYGAGCGACAGGGACGCAGACAGACGACACGACGGGCUGCGAGGUUUUCUGUUUCAUCUGAACCCAGAGGAGCUGAAGACACAAGGAAACCUGAUCAGUUUGUUGCAUUCAGAUAAACAACCUGUUAACACCAAAAACAAAAAUAAUUCUUAGCAAUCAAUCAGCUGAAGUUACUCCAGGGUUCAGAAAACAUGUCGGUUUUUAUUCACCUUCACAUCUCAAACGUCUAAAAUGUUCAUGAGGUUUUUAAAAUCCUCUKAGAUGAAAUCAUAUCGCAGCAGCAGAUUCAUCAAGACUUUCUUUUGUUCGGCUUUCACAAAUCAAUACUUGAUCAAUUAUAGAUGACAGUUUGUCUGGAACAACCUUCAGAUGUCCUGUAAACAUCUCGUCUGCAUUUUAACCUCCAUCCUCUGCUGGGUUUUACAGGGACAGUUUUCAUAUGAGCCAAAGUAACAAAUACUAAACAAAGAUUAGUAUUUGAACAAUAUUUAAGUAAUUUAAGCAAAUUGUUUAUUCAUGACAAAAAUGAAAGUAAAAUUAGUAAAAAUA